rnacentral:misc_RNA from 1 species
AUUGUGCGAUUCGCCGAUCGCCUCGCGGAAGAUCCGAUCACGCGGCCGAUUGCCGAUCAUGCGUUCGACGGAUUGGCGGUCACCGAUCCGCGCGGUCAUGUCGUCUACGCCAAUACGGCUUAUCUUGCGCUGACCGGCGCAUCCGGCCCCAAUGAUGUGCGGCCCGUCGAGCGGGUUUUCAUCGGUAAUCCCGAUGUCUCCGAGGCGGUGUUUCGCCUGCUCAAGGCUGCCCGCGAAGGCAAGCGCCAGCAGGAGGAGGUCCGCGUUGCGGGCGCUGACAGCGCCCAUGGCCGGUGGCUGCGCA